CCCUUUUCCUUCCAAACAACCAAAACCGAAACUCCCUGUCCACCCUUUCUCUCCCUUCAUUUUCUCUUCCCUUCUUUCCUUUCUUUUCCAUUACUGUAAUUCAACCAACCAAACCACCAAAUUCUCCGAACGAUCCUCUCUAUCCGUAACCGUCACCCUCCAAAAUCUCACAGUCACAGACCAAUCAAAUCCAUCCACCUCAUCAAAUACUGUAACCAGAAUGAAUGACAUCCUCCACCACCAAUACCACCGCAACCACCACCACCAAAACCGUGAACCCCCAUUUAACCUUCGAACACAAGCGGUACGCUUUUCUCGCCACGUGUCCUUUUAUUCCUCUCUCUCUGAUCCAUGACAGUUAUGAUCAGAUCCUUUUCCCCUUUUUUCAGUGAAAAAUAUUUAGACUGUUCUUUUUUUUCUACUCCGAAUUUUUAUACGCGUUUAUUGAUUUGGAUUUUGAUAAUGUGAGAUGUGAUUUAAUUCUUUUGAAAACAAAUUUGAGUGGCAAAUAUGAGCAUGUGUUGUUUUCUACCGUAACUCGGCAAUCUUCGGAUGCCGAUUUCAGAGAAAAAAGAAGUUUCAUGGAACCUGGUGUGACAUUUGUCCAAAUUGAGUGGAAAAUAUGAGCAUAGGUUGUUUUCUACCGUAACUCGGCAAUCUUCGGAUGCCGAUUUCAGGGAUGCGUAUGGAUUUGCUGUGAGGCCUCAGCAUGUACAAAGAUACCGAGAAUCUGCUAAUAUCUACAGGGAAGAAGAGGAGGAAAGAUCAGAUAGGUGGAAUGAUUUCUUGGAACGCCAAGCAGAUUAUUCUCAAUUGCUUACCAAUGAGAUGCCCUCGGAGGGAAUAAAGGAGGUCUCGCACAUUGAAGUUGCAGAGGAUGGGAAUAAUGAAGCACGAAAGGGAGUUGAAGGAGAUGAUUUAUGCAAAAAGAAGUUGGGUUCUGAUAGUCUGUCUGCUAAGGAUGAUGCAGAACAAGAGAAGGUGCUGCCAGCACCAGAGAAAAGAGGUCGUCAAACUGCAAAAUUUACCUAAAUCAAAUAAUUAAAGAUAUUAUGGUCACAUUACUUAUAUACUCUCCCAAGUGAUUUUCUCGACAUUAUAAUUUCUCCAUAAAACUUUUACCCAAUGAAAUCUUGUUUCUCA